UGCCAGCAGCCGCGGUAAUUCCAGCUCCAAUAGCGUAUAUUAAAGUUGCUGCAGUUAAAAAGCUCGUAGUUGGAUUUCUGGCGCUGUGUAUGCGGCCCGCCACAGUUAUGUGUGUGAGUGCCGCGGUGCGCAUGCCAUCCUUCUAGAUUCCGCAUGUGCUCUUCAUUGAGUGUGUGCAAGUCUAGAUCGUUUACUUUGAAAAAAUUAGAGUGUUUAAAGCAGGCUUUUGCUAUGAAUACAUUAGCAUGGAAUAAUAAUUUAGGACUUCGGUUCUAUUUUGUUGGUUUUGCGUACUGAAGUAAUGAUUGAUAGGGAUAGUUGGGGGUGCUAGUAUUCAGUGGCCAGAGGUGAAAUUCUCGGAUUCACUGAAGACUAACUUAUGCGAAAGCAUUCACCAAGGAUGUCUUCUUUAAUCAAGAACGAAAGUUGGGGGAUCGAAGACGAUCAGAUACCGUCGUAGUCUCAACUAUAAACUAUGCCGACUAGGGAUGGGUGGAAGUUGCAUUUUCGACUUCAUCCGCACCUUGUGAGAAAUCAAAGUGUUUGGGUUCCGGGGGGAGUAUGGUCGCAAGGCUGAAACUUAAAGGAAUUGACGGAAGGGCACCACCAGGAGUGGAGCAUGCGGCUUAAUUUGACCCAACACGGAAAAACUUACCAGGUCCAGACAUAGUGAGGAUUGACAGAUUGAAGAUCUUUCUUGAUUCUAUGGGUGGUGGUGCAUGGCCGUUCUUAGUUGGUGGAGUGAUUUUCUUGUUAAUUCAGUUAACGAACGAGACCUCGCCCUGCUAAAUAGUUCGGCAAACAUUUCGGUGUUUGUAUUCCGUGACUUCUUAGAGGGACUAUCGGUGUGUAGCCGAUGGAAGUUCGAGGCAAUAACAGGUCUGUGAUGCCCUUAGAUGUUCUGGGCCGCACGCGCGCUACGCUGAUGCAUUCAUCGAGCUUACAACCUUGACUGGAAGGUCUGGGUAAUCUCACUAACAUGCAUCGUGCUGGGGAUAGAUUAUUGUAAUUAUUAAUCUUCAACGAGGAAUUCCUAGUAAACGCGCGUCAUCAACGCGCAUUGAUUACGUCCCUGCCCUUUGUACACACCGCCCGUCGCUACUACCGAUUGAAUGGAUUAGUGAGCUUCACGGAUUGUUCUGCUCAGGGGCAACCCAGAGAAGAAGGAAAAGUGAAUCAAACUUGCUCAUUUAGAGGAAGUA
rnacentral:rRNA from 1 species